UACAGAGGUCUCGAGCGUUAGGCGGAAUCACUGGGCUUAAAGCGUGUGUAGGCGGAUCGGUAAGUACCUUGUGAAAUCCCACAGCUUAACUGUGGAACUGCUUGGUAUACUGCCAGUCUUGAGCCAGCUAGGGGCGACCGGAACAAAUGGUGGAGCGGUGAAAUGCGUAGAUAUCAUUUGGAACGCCAAUGGUGAGAACAGGUCGCUGGGGCUGUGCUGACGCUGAGACACGAAAGCCAGGGGAGCGAACGGG
rnacentral:rRNA from 1 species